rfam:Oryza rufipogon genomic scaffold, chr07
GAUUUCAAUUGAAAAAGUCAUCAACAACAAAGUUGAAUAACUCAUCAAGAUCUAAAACUUUUAUUUUGGUCAUUUCUUCAUACGAUAAAGUGAUAGUAACAUUGUUCAUAAAAUUAACAUAUCUCUUAUCUGGUUUUAUAAACUAUAACACAUAUAUGUAAAAUUUGUGAAUAAUAUUACUAACAUUUCGUCGGAUGAAGAAAUAACAAAAAUAAAAGUUUUAGGUCUUGAUGAGUUAUACAACUUUGUUGUUGAUGACUUUUUCAGUUGAAGUC